rnacentral:misc_RNA from 1 species
GAAAUGCGAUAAGUAAUGCGAAUUGCAGAAUUCAGUGAAUCAUCGAAUCUUUGAACGCACAUUGCACUCCCCAGUAUUCUGGGGAGUAUGCCUGUCUGAGCGUCAUUUCAACCCUCGCGCCCGGCUUCUGUCGGGGGCGGUGUUGGGGAUCGGCCGCCCGUCACUGGGUGGCCGGCCCCUAAAUUCAGUGGCGACCGCGCCGUAGCCUCCUCUGCGUAGUAGUAACUCACCUCGCGGGCGGAGAGCGGCGCGGCCCUGCCGUAAAACACCCAACUUUCACAAGGUUGACCUCAGAUCAGGUAGGAAUACCCGCUGAACUUAA